GCUGAGGCUGAGACUAUAUAAACAGAGGUGAGUUCAAACCUCAGUCAGCUGCUGCUGAACAUCUUCUGAUAUCCUGUCACCACCUGAAGACGAAGACAUUUGCAGAGGAAUUUAUAAAAGUGAACACAAGACCUCUCUCAUCAUGGAUAUAACCAUCGUUAUGCUGAACGGGACUUCCCACACACUGAGCGUGCACCCAGGGGACACAGUGGGCUCUCUGAAACAACGCAUCCAGGACAAGUUUGGAGUCCCCUGUGAGAAGCAGAAGCUGAUGUUUGUGAAUGGUCAGAAGACUCACCUGAGCUAUGACGUAAUGUCCAUCAGCUCCUACGGUUUGCACCCGGGUGCCAUUGUGUCGCUGCUGGUGAUCGAGCCGCCGACCAUCCAGGUGUUCGUCAGAAAUCUCGAGGGGAAGUCGAACACCUAUGAUAUCAAAGCUGACGAGACUGUGGCCUUAUUCAAGAGCAAGGUCCAGAGCAGAGAGGGGGUCCCGGUGAGCCAGCAGAGGCUCAUUCACCAGGGCAGAGAGAUGAGGGAGGGCAGACUGGCGGACUACGACGUCACUGCCAACAGCACCAUCGACAUGAGUACGCGCCUGAGAGGAGGCUGAGGACUAUUAAAUCUGAACAUUUAUUAUCUAGUAUAAAAAAAAUAUUUUCUGUAGCUACAUUCCUUUAUUUUUUAUUAAUUUCUAAUGGAUAUGAAGGUCAUAUUCCAUGUCUUAUUUAUUUGUAUUUUCAUUUUGAAAAAAAACAACAACAAUGCAUUCCUCCUGUGUGUAAUCAUGCAUGUCUUUAAAACGUUAUUUGUUUUAAUUUGGCAAUACAAAUCUGUCUUCCAUUUUUAAUGGAAAUGGACUUACCUGCACUUUAUAUUGUGGCAACUCCUGCUCAUGUUCCUUCUUGCUCACACUAUAGGCUAUAUAUGGUGGUGUAGCUAUUCACACUUCAUACUGUUAAAACUGUUCAAAGUGGGACCAAGUCAUUGUUUUUGUCAAGUUCUGCCUGUUACAUUGAUUUGUCUUCUUUCAAAAUACACCUCUGUUUUCACAGGAAAUUUAAUGUUACAUGAAGCCUCUUUCAAAAUAAAUGCACUAC